UACGUAGGGGGCUAGCGUUGUCCGGAAUCAUUGGGCGUAAAGAGCGUGUAGGCGGCUCGGUAAGUCCGCUGUGAAAGUCCAGGGCUCAACCCUGGAAAUGCCAGUGGAAACUGUCGAGCUAGAGUCCGGGAAGAGGCGAGUGGAAUUCCUGGUGUAGCGGUGAAAUGCGCAGAUAUCAAGGAGGAACACCAAUGGCGAAGGCAGCUCGCUGGGACGGUACUGACGCUGAGACGCGAAAGCGUGGGGAGCAAACAGG
rnacentral:rRNA from 1 species